rnacentral:pre_miRNA from 1 species
ACAACAUUAGGACCGUCGGUCUACCGUGCAAAUAUCACCCGCUCGGUGGAAGAUUCUUUCUUCCCUUUCGUCGU